ACGGGAGGCAGCAGUGGGGAAUAUUGGACAAUGGGGGAAACCCUGAUCCAGCGACGCUGCGUGAGUGAAGAAGUAUUUCGGUAUGUAAAGCUCUAUCAGCAAGGAAGAAAAUGACGGUACUUGACUAAGAAGCUCCGGCUAAAUACGUGCCAGCAGCCGCGGUAGUACGUAUGGAGCAAGCGUUAUCCGGAUUUACUGGGUGUAAAGGGAGCGUAGACGGUUUGGCAAGUCUGAAGUGAAAUGCGGGGGCUCAACUCCUGAACUGCUUUGGAAACUGUCGAACUAGAGUGCAGGAGAGGUAAGUGGAAUUCCUAGUGUAGCGGUGAAAUGCGUAGAUAUUAGGAGGAACACCAGUGGCGAAGGCGGCUUACUGGACUGUAACUGACGUUGAGGCUCGAAAGCGUGGGGAGCAAACAGGAUUAGAUACCCUGGUA
rnacentral:rRNA from 1 species